UUUUGUCUGUCCUGGGUAGCUAUGGCUCCACCUGUUGGCCAGCAAAACUCUAACACAGGAAGUACAAUCAUUGAAGGAAAACCAGGAAGUCUAUAAAAGGACCAGGAAGUUGGCGGUUCUUCCCUUUGUCUCCAGCAGACCACACAUGAGCCGACUCCUGAAGAAGACUGCAAACUGAAAACAUCAGCUGUGAGUUUUGUUCUGUGUGGCUGCUCCUUGGUUUUUUAGCAGAAAAUGGUGUUAAAACAUGUAUUUUUUUUUUACUUGCUUGUUUAAGUAUUUAGUUUAGUUUAUCCUGGUGCUUAGCCUAGCAUGUAGCCCACAGCUUAGCUGAUUUGCUUAUUGCAAAAUCAGCUAAGCUCUGGGCCACAUGUCUGGUUUAGUCAGUACCUUAGCUUAGCUUUUAGCAUUAGCAUGUGAUGUAGCAUGUAGCUAAGGCUCACACAGCUCAAUUCAUCAUGUAGCUUAGCGCUUAGCAUUAGCAAAUAGCAUUUAGCUUAGCACCAAUGUUUCAUUUGUAUUAUGAGUAAAUGUAUUAUUUUCUAUGAGAAGUUGUUUACAGCAUUUUGUUGAUCAGUGCGUUAUUAUUUCUCUUUGUUGUAGUUUUUACUCUGAAUUUAACCAGUGAUGAAUAAACAAGAUCAACUGAGACCUGACUCAAUCAUUUAAUUUUAAAUUUUUAAAAGUUUUUAGAGAUUAACUGUCAAACUGCAUAAUCACACAUGUAGGGAGGACAGUUUAACACCAAAGAUGUUUCAUUGGUUUGAAGUCUGAUUAGGAGCAGGUGGGCCGCAGGUAUAUUUGAGUUUAUAACAUGCAUUUUCGAAUUGGCCUAAUUUAUUCUGCUGUUGACCGCAGUAUUCAGUGGAUACUGUAUACUGAGUACUGUGUUCAAUAGUAGUAUGUAGUAUGACUGCAAGUCGGCUGUUAUUAUGUAGCAUGGUUGGCCCGGUUUAGCUGGUUUCCUGUAUGGAAAAGUCCAUGGUACUCUGGUAAACUGCACUGACACUACAGUCGCCCAUUCAUUUACGCACUGAAAAAAAUCUUUAAUGUGUUUUAAUUUGAUUUUUUUUAGCCCAAUACCAUCAAAACAUGUUCUGUCCAUGCAAUGACACAUCGAUCUGGUGGCGUACGGCAAAGUUAUGUUGUCAGUUACGUUGUCCUCAUUUCCUGCUUAAAUGAAAGAAGUUGCAACCCUUCAGUGUUGUUUUUGGCAGGCAUUUUAGAUUUAGUUUUAGUCUUAGUCAUUUUGACGAAAUGCUUCUUCGUUUUAGUCCCAUUUUAGUCAUUUCUAUCCUUGAUAGUUUUCGUCUAGUUUUAGUCCGACGAAAACUCAAAAGGUUUUCGUCUAGUUUUAGUCGACGUAAAGGUGCCUUUUGAGGUUCGUGGUGUUCAUUCCCGACAGUUUGAAGCAUGAGGAAGCUGUGGCUCCACAACUGUCGUCUGUCUCGUCUCCCCGUCCCGUGUUUUAUUGUCACUUUUAUUUUAUUGUCACUUGAACUGUAUCUGAAGUAGGACCAUAAAGCAUCCCUCUUUUUUCGGCCACCGCUGCUGUGCCUGCCGCUACGGUGUGUGUGUGUGUGCGCGCCUCGUCCACCUGCCGCUCUGUGUAUGUGAAUGAGUGUGUGCGCGCAGCUGUGCGCGAGCGAGGCUUUUGGUGCGUGUGUGAUUGGGGGCGUGACUGUUAGGACAAAAAAAAGCAUGUUUUGAAACUUUGUUCGUCCACCUAAUAACAAUUUAGUCUCGUCUCGUUCUCGUCUGACGAAAAUGAAUAUAAUUUUCGUCACAUUUUAGUCUUUACAGAGCUUUGGUGACGUUCGUCUUAGUCUCAUUUUCGUCAAGGAAAAAAGGGGUCUGACGUUGUCAUUUAAGUUUUCGUCCUGCCUGACGAAAACAACACUGCAACCCUUGCUAAACGUGUUAACUGAUGGCGUCUGUGUGGUGUGGUCUUAUUUCCCUUUGUCCCUUUGAUAGUUUGACAACUCCAGUAAAAACCCUCUAAUCCAAACUCCUGUCUCCUGUCAGUUUAUUUCUUGUCUGCUGAUUGAGUCCGACUGUUUUAACGUUUACUCACCUUUCUGCGUUAAAGCUUUAGACCCUCUCUAAUGCCAGCUGCCUGUCUAGCUGUGAGAUGGAAACAUGGCUGAUGGACCGCACUCAGGUGAAAAGUUUCGCCGCUCUCCGCUAUCUGCCCAGGCGCUUCGCAUUGUGGGUAACAGUAGGCGAAGCAGACUGUGAGAUUUUCCCGAAUCAGUACGUCAUCUGGGUAUUUUUUGCAUAUUGCGAAUUUUGCAUUUGCUUGCUUAUUGCGUACUGAAUUUUGGGCAAAUCAGUACGAACUGCUAAGAUAGUAGGUGAAUUCAGGAAACAGCCACGGUGUCUGACAGCGCUGUGUCUUUGUUGAUAAUUUCAACAUCAGUCACGCCAACAGGAUCUAAAAAAAAUCUAAUGUAAAUAAUUGAGAUGUGGCAGCAGGUCCGGGUUCGAACGGUCGGUGACUUCCUUUAAAAGUCUUUAGUUAAUGAGGACUGAACUCUGACUCCAGGUUUGGAGACGUGACUGCAACAAUAAACAAACUACAUUUACCACACAGGUCCGACUCACAGUCACUGAUUUGUGGCCUUUGUUGCUGUGCAGAUUCACUCUGAACACACACAAACACACACACACACACACACACACACACACACACACACACACACACACACACACACACACACACACACCAGUAAAUGCUCAUUUUAUGCUAAUAGCUUGGAAGUAUUUCCUUUGCUUUGUUCAAAGCUAAAAUGAGCUUGAAUUAAAGGUAAUUGAGGACAAAUCAACAUGCACAAUGCGUGGAGGGAGGAGAUGGCGGUGUUAAGUGGUGGGUUUGGCAAAUGUAAGGCAGGUUAAUUUCCCCAUUGCUGUUAAGUGGAGGCACACCGCUGCAUUUUAAUAAGAAUAAUUCUUCAUUGUGUGCAGGAGUCUCCGAAAAAAGCAGGUGGCUGUGUUAGAAAUGGAACCUUUUAAGUUACUGUGUAUUUUGAAGUUUAGUGUUGGUUAAAAAAACACGACGACAUUAAAGCAGAGUUUAUUAUUCCCUCUGAAAUCUUUGUGAAAAUGUAGAAACAGCCUCAAAGUCAGGACUUGUAGUAAACUCUCGCAGUUCAUUUUUCCCUCUCCUCUGAUUCACUGAGCUCUGGCAGCCUCUGAGCUCCGUGUGUCGGCCGCGACGCAGCGAUGCGAGAUAACUCGGCGUGUCACAGGAUGCCUUUUAAUAAUAGCCCCGAUGAUAAAUUACUUUAAUCAGAGGAGCGGGCUUUUCCUGUAACUUAUGAUACAGGAAGCUUGUGAAGAGAAUUGUUAUGCCAAGCCUCAUUGAGCGUCUUAAUGUGAAUCUUUACGUGUCCACAAUUAGAUUACGGCUGUGACAUGGCGGCCGGCCCGGUGCAGGCUCUCUGACGGCUUCUUCUCAGGGCGGUGGACGGAGGCAGCAGAGAGCGAAAUGAAGAAGCGUGUGUGUGUGUGUGUGUGUGUGUGUGUGUGUGUGUGUGGAGGGGGUGCAGAAGUCAGUGAACGGAUCAAUGGAAGUCAUUAUAUGGUGCUUACCGUUUGGCCAGGUCACGGUGUGAUGGAUGUGUUGUGGCAGGUAAUGGUCCUCUGCAGCCCCCGCCUCAGCAAAUGGAGAUGAUGAACUCAGAUGUGUUCGCUUGUCAACAACUCGUACCUUCGUCUGGUUCAGCAGCCGCCAGCAGGGCCUGGAACCCGCUUCACGGUUUACACGGAGGACACGAGCGGCUGAGCGACGGUUAUAAAAACAAUUAAU